AGUGAACGCUGGCGGUAGGCCUAACACAUGCAAGUCGAACGGCAGCACAGUAAGAGCUUGCUCUUACGGGUGGCGAGUGGCGGACGGGUGAGGAAUACAUCGGAAUCUACUUUUUCGUGGGGGAUAACGUAGGGAAGCUUACGCUAAUACCGCAUACGACCUACGGGUGAAAGCAGGGGAUCUUCGGACCUUGCGCGAUUGAAUGAGCCGAUGUCGGAUUAGCUAGUUGGCGGGGUAAAGGCCCACCAAGGCGACGAUCCGUAGCUGGUCUGAGAGGAUGAUCAGCCACACUGGAACUGAGACACGGUCCAGACUCCUACGGGAGGCAGCAGUGGGGAAUAUUGGACGAUGGGCGCAAGCCUGAUCCAGCCAUACCGCGUGGGUGAAGAAGGCCUUCGGGUUGUAAAGCCCUUUUGUUGGGAAAGAAAAGCAGCAGGUUAAUACCCCGCUGUUCUGACGGUACCCAAAGAAUAAGCACCGGCUAACUUCGUG
rnacentral:rRNA from 1 species